CAGUUGAAUUUGAGGUCUGGAUGGGACCAAAUCUCGUUGCAGGCCGGUGAGACGAGAUUUGGUUCUCUCCAGUAUCUCAUGUUCAACUU
rnacentral:pre_miRNA from 1 species